UAGCCUACGGGGCGCAGCAGUGGGGAAUAUUGGGCAAUGGGCGCAAGCCUGACCCAGCAACGCCGCGUGAAGGAAGAAGGCUUUCGGGUUGUAAACUUCUUUUGUCAGGGACGAAGCAAGUGACGGUACCUGACGAAGAAGCCCCGGCUAACUACGUGCCAGCAGCCGCGGUAAUACGUAGGGGGCAAGCGUUAUCCGGAUUUACUGGGUGUAAAGGGAGCGUAGGCGGCAGUGCAAGUCAGAAGUGAAAGCCCGGGGCUCAACUCCGGGACUGCUUUUGACACUGUACAGCUUGAUUGCAGGAG
rnacentral:rRNA from 1 species